CGGACUCCUACGAGAGCCGGACUCCGCCGACAACUUCAACCGCAAGGAGGCUCCGCCCGGACUCCUACGGGAGCCAGGCUCCGUCCUCAACAUCAACCACUGGUAAGCCCUGUCCGGACUCCUACGGGAGCCGGACUUCGCCUUUGACUUUAAUUGCAGGAAGGCUCCGCCCGGACUCCUACGGGAGCCAGGCUUCGCCCUCGACUCCAACGGCUGCAGACAGACUUCGUCCGGACUCCUACGGGAGCCGGACCCC
rnacentral:lncRNA from 1 species